AGGCAGGCACACAAGCAGUAUUGAUGAGUCCUCAGGUUUUCUGUGGAAGGGGGGCUAGAAAUAGAGUGAAUGAUACGAAGAGAUUUUGUUUGUUGUUUGCUCCUUACAAUGGGUGUGUCCUCAGGGUUUCCAGGGCUGACAGAAGGGAGUCAGGCGGGAGGUACAGAUGCUGGAGACGGGAUAAUCGGUACAGAGGGCCCUCCUCCUCCCCGGAGAAGGCAGCCACAACUGGGAAUGGGUGGGCAAGGUGGAGAUACACUUGUGGUGCAGGAAGCAUGUCUUUCUUUGUAACAGGAAGGAAGAAGAAGAAGGUGGAUGCCGGUCAGAUGUUCCUGUAAGUGCCCAAAUCCUGUGAUGUCUACAGCAGUAUGUGUGAAAACCACAUGUUUUGAUGCAAUACAACUCUACACAAUUCUUUUCUGGAAGCUUAUAAGAAACACGUGCAACUUUCUUAGAAGCACCCCCACUGAGAGCGAGGGCAGCCUGAAGAGUCUCCUUUUGCAUUUGCUCAGACUUCAGAGUGCUGUGGACCAGCAGUGACCCAACCCCUCCAGUACCCGCCAGGACACAGAAAUGCACCUCCCGUCUAGCUGUUUGCCUUAUUGUGCCUGUGGAAGGUUUGCCAUUGAGGCUGUUGUCAUCUGUUUUUAGAGGGUGGCAAAUACAAGGUAAAAUGAAGAAAAAUAAAAAGAUCUGCAAAGAUUUCAGAGUAUUUGACCCAAAGAAGAAAAAACUGAAAAUCUACUUCUCAAGUCUGUGAAGGCCUGUGAUAAGGUGAGAGUGGGAACCAGCUGUUACCCAUCUCUGCAGAGAUCAAAUACAGAAUUUAUGAGCUCAGCUAAAGAAAAAAAUUAAGUUUUUUAAAGAUCAACUUCCUGACCAUGGCAAUUUUUACCAACUAGAAGGGAUCAGAAUAGCACAAGUUCUUCUGCCUUGAGUCUUGACGAAUACAACAUUUAUCUAAGAUCAUGUAUGAACUGCCCUGAAACUUCGCGGUGUAACCCAAGAAAGCACCAUUUUACAGUGCUCAUGGAAUCUGUGGGUCAGGCACAGUGAGAAUGGUUUCUGUCUGCUCCACAGUGACUGGGGACUCAGUUGGAAAGAUGAAAAACCCGGGAGUAGCUGACACGGUUGGGAUGGCGAUGUCUUUAUGUUUCUUUACUCACAGGUCAAAUGCCUGGGGUCAUGCUGGGCAUCUCUGCUGAUGUAGUAUCAAGACCUCUCCGUGUCACUACUGCACGUGGGUCAGGGUGGUUGAAGUCUUACAUAUGACUCUAAGCUCCAAGAGCAAGUUCAAAAGCCGCACGGUCUUUAUCACUUAGCUGUGGAAUCAUAUAAAUGCCACUUCUGCUCAACUAGGAUGGGCAGAGUACUCAGAAUCCAAUCCGGAUUCAAGGGGAGGGAAUGCAGAUGUUAGUUUUCACUGCAAGGGUGUCAAAGAAUUUGUAGCCAUGUUUGAAAACCAACACAAAGAAUUGACUGUAGUUUAUUUAUUCAACUAACCAGCAUUUGUUAAGCGCAGAUUCCAGCCUCUAGGUUGGGAAAACUAAAAAGAAUUCGGCAUGUCCGUGUCUGCCUCAAGGAGUUCAGGGUCUGGUCAUGAUGGCAAAGAUAGCCCCGAGUCAAGGUGACACACUUGGAGAGGAACCCUGAGAAGCCCAUUUAGAUUUUCUGCCACUAAGGCCUAUUCAUUUUCUAGGACUGAAUGCUCUAGGGAAAAAAUUCCCAGUCCUUCUGAAUUCAACCAAGCUACAAGUAGCUUUUCAAUUUGUUUUUAUUUCUACCCUUUGGCUUGUGCUUUCUGGAUUGUGGGCACUGGGAUUCCUAAUCUUUGGCAACGAGUCCUAUUCUAAAUGUAAACAGAUGGAGAAGGUGCCAACAUGGCCGAGCAUGGCGCACUCUAAUGCAGUAACAUGCUGACACUGGUUGGGCGAAUGUAGCUGCAUUAAACAACUGUGUUUGCUCAGCCCUUUCCAGGAGGGCUCCAAAGUUGCAUAUCAGGGAGGCGCACAGCCAAUGCCUCUCUCAGGGUCCACCUGGGAGGGACUGGGGGGUGCCAUUUCAGUGCAGGAGACAUUUGAGUAGCAGCCUGUGUCUGAGCUUUCAGGGGAAUAUACCAUGUUAGCUCCAGCAACUUUUCAUCAUUUCUUUUGUAUUUCCCAGCCUUUGAUUUUUUUGCAGUACAAUUAAGCAACCUCAAAUCAGCCUCCUACUGCCACCACUUAAAAUAAAUUCAUGACUGAAAUUGACCCCAUUGCCAGGUUGACCACACUUGACUCAGAACCAGUUUUCUAUUCGUUCUGACCACACUUGACUCAGAAUCAGUUUUCUAUUCGUUCAGUCUCUUCCUAUCCUUCCUCGUUGACACAGGAAGGAUUGCAUGAGCUCAGUUCACCUUCCAGCCCAGUAGCAUGGUUUUCUUUGCUUUGCUUUCCUUGGUCGGGGCCAGAGGAUGUAACACUCUAUUGCUGCCAGUGAAGGGAUGCCUGCCCAGAAAAUCACUUCUCCAAAAAUCUCUCCCUCUGGCCUGGACAAAAUGUCCACCACCGAUUGCCACUCUGAUAGUCUUGUGGCAUCAUCACCUCUAGAAAGUUCAGGAAAAGUCACAUGUCCUCUGGUUAAGUGUGUUCACUCAAGCAAUAGUGGCUGUAAUAAUCAAUAUUUACUGAGCACGUAGAAUGUGCCAGGUAACUUUGCUAAUCUCUUUUCUUGCAAUCUCAUGAAAUCCAGACUCUAUGAGUGGCAACUUUGUGGUUCUAUCACUAUUAUUAUUCAUUUCCUAGAUGAGGAAACUAGGUCUUCUAGAGGUUAAAUAGCUUGCCCUAGGCACUGUGGGUAAGUUAUCAGAGCCAGGAUUUGAACCCAAGUCUGCCUUACUCUAAAACUCUUGUUUACAGUUUACAGUACUGCGUAACUGGACGGUUGUGCCGUUGGCAAACCCAGGACUCUGGGAGUUUGGGAUACCUGACAGGCAUGCUUUGAUGGUGAGGGUUGGGGGAGAGAAAGAGCACAGUAUUCUUCUUUAGGGAGAGCACUCAGGACCUAAAAAGAUGCAAAAAUAGGAUGUGGGAGGAUGCUGGACAUAGGUCUACACAUUUAGGAUUUAUUGAACACACCCUAUGUACAGAGAAUGAUACCAGGUGCAGGGGUGUGCGGUUAGCCUAGUCUCCCCAUGGCCCAGCACACUUCAUCUGCUCCUACUCGCUGGCUCUGGGCUAACGGCAGGAAGUGUCCAGGGGCUUCCAGGCAGCCCCAUGUUACAUUCUCCUUAUUCCCUGGCUUUUAGCCCACUGUGUUUCCCUGCCAUCUGCCAGAGACACAUCCUUGUCAUCGAUGGCUGGGACUGAUGAUGGCUUGUCAAAUAAAACUGACAACAACUAUAGCAACAGUAGCUCAUAUUUACUGAGCACUUACUAAGUGCCAGGCAGCUGUGAGUUGUUUACAUUUAGUGCUUGUAACCCUCCUCAUCACUCAGGAUGGCGAUUGCCAUUAUAAUCCCCAGGAGCUGAGGCACAGAAAGGUUUAGGGACUUAGAAAGCUUUGUAUCUUUCUUUGGGUCAGUUGGGAUCGGUGUCUCACGCCACCUCCUGCACUGUUUUCUGCCCCUAUGGUGGUGAGUGGGUUUGGAGGAAUUACUGGUACAGUGAAGUCAGGAGUACUGUACAGGGACCAGCAAGGGGAGAGCAGGAGUCAGUCCUGAGAGGCAAGAGGAAAACCUCUUGUCAGUCUCAAGAACAGUGACAUGGGUGUUUUCCCUUCUGGAAGACAUAACCACCCACUUGGCUCAGCCAGAGUGAAUGGACAUCCUGGUCCUCUGCGAUCUGCAGGGGGCUGCCCAGAUGGGACUCAUUCCCAGGGGUCCUGACUUAGUCCCUGAAGUUACAGGACACUCAGAGAUGGCACUUCCAUUCGUGUGUAGCAGGAACACCCAGGUGGAAGAAAUUAAGGAAAAGCAGGCCCCCAGUACCCCAGAGCGCAGCAGUCUUCUGCUGAGUGGCUUGGAAACCCAGAAAAGCCCCCGAUGGGAGCAGCAGGAGCUUUGUUGGUGACCCAGUGGACUCGGGGCAGCUGGGCUCGCAGCAUGUUGUCAUCCUGGGCUUGUCCCUGAUGGACUGGAAGUACUUUCCUCAAAGUAAGCACUUAGUGCUGACUGAGAGAAUCGAUGGGAGAGAGGGGGCUUGGAGGUGCCAGUGGAAUCAUAAAUAUUUUAUACUGUUGAAUCAAAUGGAAAAGGCAAAGCUAUUUCUUUUUCAAAUGGAAGUGGUGGAGACUUCAUUCCAUUCAAGAUUAAUAGGUGCUCUGCCCAGUCAUCAGAGCUUGGAGAACAAAGCAAAACGAAUAGCCAAGAGUUGAAGCACAAGAGUCAAGCUAGAACAUCCCGGACUGGAGAGGGGGGUUUAGGCGUAAACCCUGAAGGUCCCAAGGCAGGCGGUCUGCAGAUACGUCUUCCUUCAUGCACUCCUAGACAGCGUGGCUAGUUGGGGCAUUAUUUUCAAAGCACCGGAAGAUUCAGGUGAUGCUUGUUAAGUUACAGUUGACCCUGAACAAACACACGGGUUGGGCUGCCAACCCCCUGUGCAGGAAAAAAUCCACCUGUAACUUUUCACUCCCCCCCAACUUAACGAUGAAUAGCCUACUGCUGAUGGAAGGCUUACUGAUAACAUAAAUGGUCAGUUAGUUAACACAUAUUUUGUAUGUUAUAUAUACACUAUACCUUGUUCUUGUGAUAAAGUAAGAUAGAGAAAAGAAAAAGUAAUUAAUAUCAUAAGGAUGAGAAAAUACAUUUACAGGACUGUGUUGUAUUUAUUUUAAAAAUCUGUGUCUAAGUGGACCCACACAGUUUAAACCCCUGCUGUUCAAAGGCAGCUGUACUUAUAUAAUAUGAAUAAUAGUGCUCAAAUAGAGUAUGUGUCUUGUGAGUUUGGGCUGGGGCCACAAAACCAGAGCUUUAGUGUGCAGUCCUGUGGGUGGAGAACCGGGAGGAAUGG